UUUUGUAGUUAUUGUGAUGGCAAAACAGACUCAGCAUAUGGAGAUUAAUAUCAUUUAUUGUCUAUUACUAACAAACUGGAGUAGUGAGAAACUAAAAGCAAACUAAAAAUACCUUCCCUGC